rnacentral:rRNA from 1 species
AAGCUCGUAGUUGAAUUUCGGGGUUCUACCGUUGGUCGGACUAACCAGUCUGUACUAGCGUGUAGAAUUCCUACCUUCUGGGGAACCAUCAUGUUAUUAAUUUAGCGUGGUGGGAAACCAGGACCUUUACCUUGAAAAAAUUAGAGUGUUCAAAGCAGGCUUACGUCUGAAUACAUUAGCAUGGAAUAAUAAAAUAGGACGGUGGUCCUGUUUUGUUGGUUUCUGAAUCACCGUAAUGAUUAAUAGGGUAGUUGGG